CAAAAUAUAGCUUAAAUAAAGCAUCUCGCUUACACCGAGAAGAUAUCUGUGAAACCCAAAUUAUUUUGA
rnacentral:tRNA from 1 species